rnacentral:rRNA from 1 species
CACCAGCGCCACAAGUGGUCAUCGCGAUUAUUGGGCCUAAAGCGUUCGUAGCCGGUUUGGUAAAUCUCUUGUGAAAUUGUUCGGCUUAACCGGACAGCGUGCAGGGGACACUGCUGAACUCGAGACCGGGAGGGGUCAGAGGUAUUCCGUGGGGACCGGUAAAAUGGGAUAAUCCACGGAGGACCACCGAUGGCGAAGGCAUCUGACCAGAACGGAUCUGACGGUGAGGAACGAAAGCCAGGGGAGCGAACCGG